UACAGAGGUCUCAAGCGUUGUUCGGAUUCAUUGGGCGUAAAGGGUGCGUAGCGGCGCGGUAAGUCGGGUGUGAAAUCUUGGAGCUUAACUCCGAAACUGCAUUCGAUACUGCCGUGCUUGAGGACUGGAGAGGAGAGUGGAAUUCCUGGUGUAGCGGUGAAAUGCGCAGAUAUCAGGAAAGAACACCCGUGGCUAAAGGGCGGGCUCUCUAGUACGGUACUGACGCUGAGACGCGAAGCGUGGGAGCGAAACAGG
rnacentral:rRNA from 1 species